UACAGGGGGGGGCAAGCGUUGUUCGGAAUUACUGGGCGUAAAGGGCUCGUAGGCGGCCAACUAAGUCAGACGUGAAAUCCCUCGGCUCAACCGGGGAACUGCGUCUGAUACUGGAUGGCUUGAAUCCGGGAGAGGGAUGUGGAAUUCCAGGUGUAGCGGUGAAAUGCGUAGAUAUCUGGAGGAACACCGGUGGCGAAGGCGGCAUCCUGGACCGGUAUUGACGCUGAGGAGCGAAAGCCAGGGGAGCAAACGGG
rnacentral:rRNA from 1 species